AAUAGAUACCCUGGUAGUCCAUGCCGUAAACGAUGUCUACUAGCCGUUGGGGCCCUUGAGGCUUUAGUGGCGCAGCUAACGCGAUAAGUAGACCGCCUGGGGAGUACGGUCGCAAGACUAAAACUCAAAUGAAUUGACGGGGGCCCGCACAAGCGGUGGAGCAUGUGGUUUAAUUCGAUGCAACGCGAAGAACCUUACCUGGCCUUGACAUACAGAGAACUUUCCAGAGAUGGAUUGGUGCCUUCGGGAACUCUGAUACAGGUGCUGCAUGGCUGUCGUCAGCUCGUGUCGUGAGAUGUUGGGUUAAGUCCCGCAACGAGCGCAACCCUUUUCCUAUUUGCCAGCACUUCGGGUGGGAACUUUAAGGAUACUGCCAGUGACAAACUGGAGGAAGGCGGGGACGACGUCAAGUCAUCAUGGCCCUUACGGCCAGGGCUACACACGUGCUACAAUGGUCGGUACAAAGGGUUGCUACUGCGCGAGCAGAUGCUAAUCUCAAAAAGCCGAUCGUAGUCCGGAUCGC
rnacentral:rRNA from 1 species